GGCAGACGGCUGAGUAACGCGUGGGUGACGUACCUGUUGGUGGGGAAUAACUGCCCGAAAGGGUGGCUAAUUCCGCAUACGCCUGAUCUUUUGGUAGGUCAGGGAAAGCUUCGCAAGAGGCGCUGAUGGAGCGGCCCGCGUCCGAUUAGCUGGUUGGUGGGGUAACGGCCUACCAAGGCGUCGAUCGGUAGCUGGUCUCAGAGGAUGAUCAGCCAGACUGGGACUGAGACACGGCCCAGACUCCUACGGGAGGCAGCAGUUAGGAAUUUUGGGCAAUGGGCGAAAGCCUGACCCAGCAACGCCGCGUGGGUGACGAAGGCCUUCGGGUUGUAAAGCCCUUUUCUGAGGGAAGAUUGUGACGGUACCUCAGGAAUAAGCACCGGCUAACUACGUGCCAGCAGCCGCGG
rnacentral:rRNA from 1 species